rnacentral:lncRNA from 1 species
GAGAGAGAGAGAGAGAGAAAUCUAAAGCCAAGGAAGAUACCCUCAGAGAUAAGUAUGUACCAAAUCUUGCUUCAUUACAGGGUUCUGUAGACUUCUAAGAUUGGAGUGGAGCCAUCUGAAAGAAGUGGGAGUGCUGGGAUCCAGCCAGUGAUGGAGAGCCCUCAGCUAGCACCAUGGGGUUCCAGGCUGGAUGAAGUUAGAGAUAACGAAACGAUAAAAAUGCUAAGAAUGUACUGUGUGCUGAUUAAAGAUGAGGAACUAUUGCUGUCUCUGUGGAUUUGGAAUGACUUCCAAAUUCCAAAUUGCCCUGUUCAGUGAAAAGGGCAAAAGGGAAGAGCAUUUUGCAUGAACCAGUGCUCUGCUGGAGAAUCAGAGCUAGAGACUUCUGGAAGGACUUUGGGGCUGGGGGUU